UCGUAUGCUUGUCUCGAUGAUUAAGCCAUGCAAGUGCAAGUGUAGGAGCCCGGCUCCCCCAUGGGUGUACGAGAAACAAAUAUACCGCAGACGGCUCAGUAGAACGGACGCAAUACAGUCGUGCACGACGCAGUGCAGUUGGAUAACUCUGGAAACUCUAGAGCUAAUACAUGGUGGUGCGAGCCGCCGCCUGCCCCAUCCUCGGAUGUCGGCGGAGGUGGUGUGCUUGUCAUUUCGUGGAAGGAGAAAGGUGGAUUUCCAGAGCAAGAGACGGAUUGCCCCCGCCAGUGGGGCGACGUGCACGGACGGCGUCCGACCUAUUACUACUGUUCAGUGGGGCCUGGGCCCAGGGCGGUAGUAAUGGGUGACGGGGAAUCAGGGUUCGAUUCCGGAGAGGGAGCCU
rnacentral:rRNA from 1 species